UCAUUACACAAAUAUGAAGGCGGGCUGGAACCUCUCGGGGUUACAGCCUUGCUGAAUUAUUCACCCUUGUCUUUUGCGUACUUCUUGUUUCCUUGGUGGGUUCGCCCACCACUAGGACAAACAUAAACCUUUUGUAAUUGCAAUCAGCGUCAGUAACAAAUUAAUAAUUACAACUUUCAACAACGGAUCUCUUGGUUCUGGCAUCGAUGAAGAACGCAGCGAAAUGCGAUAAGUAGUGUGAAUUGCAGAAUUCAGUGAAUCAUCGAAUCUUUGAACGCACAUUGCGCCCUUUGGUAUUCCAAAGGGCAUGCCUGUUCGAGCGUCAUUUGUACCCUCAAGCUUUGCUUGGUGUUGGGCGUCUUGUCUCUAGCUUUGCUGGAGACUCGCCUUAAAGUAAUUGGCAGCCGGCCUACUGGUUUCGGAGCGCAGCACAAGUCGCACUCUCUAUCAGCAAAGGUCUAGCAUCCACUAAGCCUUUUUUUCAACUUUUGACCUCGGAUCAGGUAGGGAUACCCGCUGAACUUAAGCAUAUCAAUAAGCGGAGGAAAAGAAACCAACAGGGAUUGCCCUAGUAACGGCGAGUGAAGCGGCAACAGCUCAAAUUUGAAAUCUGGCUCUUUUAGAGUCCGAGUUGUAAUUUGCAGAGGGCGCUUUGGCUUUGGCAGCGGUCCAAGUUCCUUGGAACAGGACGUCACAGAGGGUGAGAAUCCCGUACGUGGUCGCUGGCUAUUGCCGUGUAAAGCCCCUUCGACGAGUCGAGUUGUUUGGGAAUGCAGCUCUAAAUGGGAGGUACAUUUCUUCUAAAGCUAAAUAUUGGCCAGAGACCGAUAGCGCACAAGUAGAGUGAUCGAAAGAUGAAAAGCACUUUGGAAAGAGAGUCAAACAGCACGUGAAAUUGUUGAAAGGGAAGCGCUUGCAGCCAGACUUGCUUACAGUUGCUCAUCCGGGUUUCUACCCGGUGCACUCUUCUGUAGGCAGGCCAGCAUCAGUUUGGGCGGUAGGAUAAAGGUCUCUGUCACGUACCUCCUUUCGGGGAGGCCUUAUAGGGGAGACGACAUACUACCAGCCUGGACUGAGGUCCGCGC
rnacentral:rRNA from 1 species